UUUAUAUGCUCUAGAAGAUCUGCACGGAGGAACCAAUAUCUGCAUUUUCCUUCAAUUUGAUAGCUGAAGCCUGUAAUUUCUUCGCUUGUGACUUGUGUUGUCCAGGUAUGAGCAGUUUCUGCAAGAAGGGAGGCUACUGGAGGUAAAAUUCUCGUGCUUCUUCUUUUAUAACAUUCUUCUGUCUCUUUUCUUGACUUAAUUUUUGACUAGGAAAGUGUAAUUUAUAUAAAUUCUCUUCAUAUUUGUAAUGGCAUAGAGAGCAGUGAUGGUAGGUCAUUACAAGUAUUCACAAAGAGCAAAUCUCAUGAUACCAUUGACUCUCCUUUUACUGUAUCACUCGCAAAGAGGGCAAUGUUUUAUGGUGUUAUGUACUCUUUCCUCUUGUUGAUCAUGAGCUCCAAUUUUGAAGGGUUUUCUAAGCCAAAUACAUUUUUUAAAUAAGUCGAAUAUAUCAUGACUGAACA
rnacentral:misc_RNA from 1 species